UACGUAGGGGGCUAGCGUUGUCCGGAAUCAUUGGGCUUAAAGGGCGCGUAGGCGGCGGUGUAAGUUGGAAGUGAAAGCCCACGGCUCAACCGUGGAAGUGCAUCCGAAACUGCAUGGCUGGAGUCCCGGAGAGGAAGGUGGAAUGCUUGGUGUAGAGGUGAAAUUCGUAGAUAUCUGGAGGAACACCGGUGGCGAAGGCGGCAUCCUGGACCAACACUGACGCUGAGUGAGCGAAAGCCAGGGGAGCAAAC
rnacentral:rRNA from 1 species